CCCUCUGGCGAUCCAGCGCUCCAGAACCUUGUUCUGCGAGGGGGCUCGUGGACGACAACAGCUGGCUUUCCUGCUUCUCCACCUUAUGGAUGACAAACCCCAGGAUCUUUCAGCCUCUUACAGAUGAUGCUUGUCUCUCUGGGCUGCAUUUGGGAUGAUUCCUCCGAUGUGCCACUCUUAGACGUCACGGAAUCACUACUACAAACUAAGGGAUGCACCGACUAUGUACACACAGGGCCAGCUUUGAGGAAUCUGGGAUGGCUUUCAGAAGCUUUAUGUGUUUAUACACCUUUCCCCAUGGGCCGUCACUCGGAGAGAACAGCUGCACCAAAUUCCAGACAGCAAACUUCUGAACCAUGAAACC